rnacentral:rRNA from 1 species
UACGUAGGGUGCAAGCGUUGUCCGGAAUUAUUGGGCGUAAAGAGCUCGUAGGCGGUCUGUCGCGUCUGCUGUGAAAUCCCGAGGCUCAACCUCGGGCGUGCAGUGGGUACGGGCAGGCUAGAGUGCGGUAGGGGAGAGUGGAACUCCUGGUGUAGCGGUGGAAUGCGCAGAUAUCAGGAGGAACACCGAUGGCGAAGGCAGUUCUCUGGGACGUAACUGACGCUGAGGAGCGAAAGCGUGGGGAGCGAACAGG